UACGUAGGGUGCAAGCGUUAAUCGGAAUUACUGGGCGUAAAGCGUGCGCAGGCGGUGAUGUAAGACAGAUGUGAAAUCCCCGGGCUCAACCUGGGACCUGCAUUUGUGACUGCAUCGCUGGAGUGCGGCAGAGGGGGAUGGAAUUCCGCGUGUAGCAGUGAAAUGCGUAGAUAUGCGGAGGAACACCGAUGGCGAAGGCAAUCCCCCGGGCCUGCACUGACGCUCAUGCACGAAAGCGUGGGGAGCAAACAGG
rnacentral:rRNA from 1 species